GCGGUUGGAGAUGAGCAUGCGUCCCAUUAGUUAGUUGGCGAGGUAACGGCUCACCAAGACAUCGAUGGGUAGGGGGCCUGAGAGGGUUAUCCCCCACACUGGUACUGAGACACGGACCAG
rnacentral:rRNA from 1 species